GUUGCAGUGCGGGUGCUAUACAUGCAGUCGAGCGCGUGAAUCAACAUGAUCCCUUCGGGGUGAUUGUUGUGGAUCGAGCGGCGGACGGGUGAGUAACACGUGGGCAACCUACCCAUGAGAUCGGGAUAACUCCGGGAAACCGGAGCUAAUACCGAAUAACCCAGUGAACUGCAUGGUUCACUGGUAAAAGGCGGUUUCGGCCGUCACUCAUGGAUGGGCCCGCGGCGCAUUAGCUAGUUGGUAAGGUAACGGCUUACCAAGGCGACGAUGCGUAGCCGACCUGAGAGGGUGAUCGGCCACACUGGGACUGAGACACGGCCCAGACUCCUACGGGAGGCAGCAGUAGGGAAUCUUCCGCAAUGGACGAAAGUCUGACGGAGCAACGCCGCGUGAACGAUGAAGGUCUUCGGAUCGUAAAGUUCUGUUGUUAGGGAAGAACAAGUGCCAGAGGAAAUGCUGGUACCUUGACGGUACCUAACCAGAAAGCCACGGCUAACUACGUGCCAGCAGCCGCGGUAAUACGUAGGUGGCAAGCGUUGUCCGGAAUUAUUGGGCGUAAAGCGCGCGCAGGCGGUUUCUUAAGUCUGAUGUGAAAGCCCACAGCUCAACUGUGGAGGGCCAUUGGAAACUGGGGAACUUGAGUACAGAAGAGGAGAGUGGAAUUCCACGUGUAGCGGUGAAAUGCGUAGAUAUGUGGAGGAACACCAGUGGCGAAGGCGACUCUCUGGUCUGUAACUGACGCUGAGGCGCGAAAGCGUGGGUAGCAAACAGGAUUAGAUACCCUGGUAGUCCACGCCGUAAACGUUGAGUGCUAGGUGUUAGGGGGUUUCCGCCCUUAGUGCUGAGGUUAACGCAUUAAGCACUCCGCUGGGGAGUACGGCCGCAAGGCUGAAACUCAAAAAUUGACGGGGCCCGCACAAGCGGUGGAGCAUGUGUUUAAUUCAA
rnacentral:rRNA from 1 species